rnacentral:rRNA from 1 species
AGCAGCCGCGGUAAUUCCAGCUCCAAUAGCGUAUAUUAAAGUUGUUGCAGUUAAAAAGCUCGUAGUUGAAUUUCGAGAUCAGUACGCUGGUCGUGCCUUCGGUAUGUACUGGUGUCACUGGUUUCUCCCUUCUGAAGAACCGUUAUGUCAUUAAGUUGGUGUGGCGGGGAAUCAGGACUGUUACUUUGAAAAAAUUAGAGUGUUUAAAGCAGGCUCGCGCUUGAAUACAUUAGCAUGGAAUAAUGAAAUAGGACGUUUGACCCUAUUUUGUUGGUUUCUAGGAUCGACGUAAUGAUUAAUAGGGAUAGUUGGGGGCAUUAGUAUUCAAUUGUCAGAGGUGAAAUUCUUGGAUUUAUUGAAGACUAACUACUGCGAAAGCAUUUGCCAAGGAUGUUUUCAUUAAUCAAGAACGAAAGUUAGGGGAUCGAAGACGAUCAGAUACCGUCGUAGUCUUAACCAUAAACUAUGCCGACUAGGGAUCGGAUGAUGUUAAUUUUUUAAUGACUCA